UACGGGGGGGGCAAGCGUUGUUCGGAAUUACUGGGCGUAAAGGGCUCGUAGGCGGCCAACUAAGUCGGACGUGAAAUCCCCAGGCUUAACCUGGGAACUGCGUCGGAUACUGGAUGGCUUGAAUCCGGGAGAGGGAUGCGGAAUUCCAGGUGUAGCGGUGAAAUGCGUAGAUAUCUGGAGGAACACCGGUGGCGAAGGCGGCAUCCUGGACCGGCAUUGACGCUGAGGAGCGAAAGCCAGGGGAGCAAACGGG
rnacentral:rRNA from 1 species